GCGGCCCCUCGGAGUCCCACCAGGCUCGGUCGCCAUCUUGCGACUGGACAGAAAGGGUAAUCCCUCUUUUUAGUUUCUGCUGUCUGUGACCCGAAAGAAUAAACCUGGGACUUCCGGAAGCCCUCUGGGCACCCCCCCCCCCAGGAGGGUUGCAGAGCCCCUUGGUGUACCCAGCAGAGGAACGCCUCAGACUUUGUUGGGAAACGAAUGGCUCUGAAAGUUAGCUGAAGCCGCUGGAAUAGCCCCCCAGCCCCGAGGCGGGGCAGGUGCCUGCCGUUAUUGGCUUUUCGACCCCAACCCUUUUCUAUCUGGAGCUGCCUUUGUAGAUGUUGCAGGGGUGCCCCGAGAGUGCAGGCCAGAUUUUAGAGGACCAAGGUCAUCUACUUAGGCCUCUUGCCAACACAGGAUGUGUCAACUAGUUUACCAGAGACGAAGGUAAAGUCCCGUCUCCUGCAGUUGUUGACGUUCAGUAGGUCGUCGGUUAAGAAAAGUGGCUCCCUGGUUGACCCCAGCUGGAUAGAGGCUAAUUUUGAUCCAUAUGACAGCUGAACGUAGUUAAAGCCAUUAAAAUUAAAUCCAUUUAAAGUCAUAUUUGGUACCAGGGUCACCAUUUUAAAAGGUGUGUGUGUGUAUGUGUGUGUGUGUGUGUGUGUGUGUGUAUAGCUUUACAACACUUGCUAGCAAAGCCAAAAGAGUAUCACUAACAAUUCAUAGUGUUACAACUUGCAACUUUGUUGAUAAGCCCUUGAAGUACUAGAUGAGUACCCAUGUCUAGUAUUCAGAUUUUUUAUAUCAACAGUCGUACAUAGCAGUGUAUCUUUUUUAAAUUUAUUUUUAUUUUUAAACUUAGAAAUGGUGUCUUGCUAUGUUAGGCCCAGGCUGGUCUCGAGCUCCUGGCCUCAAGUGAUCCUCCCACCUCGGCCUCCCAAAGUUUUGGGACUACAGGCAUGAGCCACAGUGCUCGGCCAGCAGUGUAAUUUUUAACUGUCAGUCUCGGAACAUCUUUUUUGUAUAGCCAAGUGUGUGGGUGUGUGUGUGUAUCCGCCUCACAACUAUAACCAACCAUUGAAAAACCAACAAUAAGCUAGAAGAAUUUAAGUUAUUCCAGGACAACUGAUGAUAAUGAUAGUAUUAAGCCAUAUUCGAUUUUAAGAUGUUUUAACUCAGCUCUUUACUCACUUUUCAUUUCCUCUCAUUACACAUCCACAUUUGGAAACUAUUUGCUGUUAUAUUUCAUGGAAAGGACUAGUAAGAAUUAUAAUCUUUAAAAAAAUUUAUCUUCGCAAGUUUUCAAAAUAGGCAACAAAGAAUGUAAAUCUUUAAGGACUUUAUUGUUGGACUAAUUAAAGCAUACCAUUUCUACUAUAUCUAGCAUAUGGAGAUACUUAUAGGUAUUCUUCCUUUUAAGUAGAAAUUGACAAUAAAUUAAGUGUAAUUUUAUAAUGGCCUGGUGUAUCAAAGUGUGGCGGAAAUCCCUGAGUUCCAAAAAGAUUAAAGACCGAAGGGAAAUAAGUCUGCUUUUAGCUAGAUGUCAGAAUGACUAUUCAUUGCUUUACUGAGAUCAAGGAGGAUCUUAAUUCCUCCUGGAGAAAUUACGUAUAUCCGUUUUAGUUCAUUAAUUUUAAAUCUGUAUUCUUAUGUGUGACAUUAGUAUUAGAAUUCUUUCAAGAUUUCACUGUGCUUUUUGUUUUAUCCAUUUUCAAAUUUAGAAAUGUUUGCUCAUCAAACUUACCAACAUAAAUACUUUCAGGAAUCCUUAAGAUACU
rnacentral:lncRNA from 1 species